rnacentral:pre_miRNA from 1 species
GUGUUGACAGAAGAUAGAGAGCACAGAUGAUGAGAUACAAUUCGGAGCAUGUUCUUUGCAUCUUACUCCUUUGUGCUCUCUAGCCUUCUGUCAUCACC